CCUACGGGAGGCAGCAGUGAGGAAUAUUGGUCAAUGGUCGGGAGACUGAACCAGCCAAGCCGCGUGAGGGAUGACGGUACAGAGUAUCGUAAACCUCUUUUGUCAGGGAACAAAGGCGGGGACGCGUCCCCGGUUGAGGGUACCUGAAGAAUAAGCAUCGGCUAACUCCGUGCCAGCAGCCGCGGUAAUACGGAAGAUGCGAGCGUUAUCCGGAUUUAUUGGGUUUAAAGGGUGCGCAGGCGGCCCGUUAAGUGAGCGGUCAAAGCCCGGGGCUCAACCCCGGCCCGCCGUUGAAACUGGGAGUCUCGAGUUGGACAGAAGUAUGCGGAAUGCGCGGUGUAGCGGUGAAAUGCAUAGAUAUCGCGCAGAACUCCGAUUGCGAAGGCAGCAUGCCGGCUCCACACUGACGCUGAGGCACGAAGGCGUGGGUAUCGAACAGGAUUAGAUACCCUUGUAGUC
rnacentral:rRNA from 1 species